UGCCUAAUACAUGUGGCUGGUGACUACUGCAUUAAAUGACACAGAGCAUUUCCAUCACUGAACAAAGUUCUGUUGGAUAGCACUAAUUCACAGUGCCAGGGUCUGUAAUCACCCUUUCAACAGCUCUUCAACUCUCACUGCUGAUUCUUAGGCAUUGAUUUUGCUGAUUCGAUGGAUACAGCAGAAAAGAAAAUGGAAAGAAUGCUAGAACUGGAGUUGCAUUACAUUGGAAAAGGCAUGGAAAUGUCACUGAGGAAGAGAUGGGCAUGAAAGUUCCCCACAGGAGUUGGGAGACAAGCUUCUUUUUUCUCUGGCUGUAAAGCUAUUGAAGAUAAGUCUGGACCUCUUGGAGGAUGAAGUUUUACUCUGUGGAGUACACUGGUUUAAAACCAAAAUCAAAAGAAGGAAGAUACGGAGCAAGAGAGAAAGAGGAUGAGACCACAAGUCCUGGAAUAGGAAAAUCUCUGCCUGAAGAAUGUAUAGGAAGAAGCCAAGUGCAGAACUGGGAGCCAAAAGCAGAACUGGGAGGCCAGUAUGGAUGAUGUGAAAAAUAACAGAGGGAAAGAUCACAGUGAAGGAGUUGGAGAAAAGAAGAAUGACAUUCCAAGUCUCCUGCUUCAGUGACACGGUAGAUGGUGGUGUCAUUAGCUGAACUAAAAAAGACUGAGGGAUACCAGGUUUCUGGCAGAGAGAAAUACAACAAAAAAUUUUAGAACAUGUUAAGUUUGAGAUAUCUAUGACACAUCCAAGCACAGAUAUCAUGUAAGAUAUUGUAUUUACCACUCUGGCUCUUAGAAAAAUACAAAAAUUAGCUGGGCAUGUUGGCAAAUGGCUGUAAUCCUGGCUACUCGGUGGCUGAGACACAAGAAUCACUUGAAUCUGUGAGACAGAGCUUGCAGUGAGCUAAGAUCUCAUGCACCACUGCACUCCAGCCUGGGCGAUAGAGCAAGACUGUGUAAAAACAAAAACAAAACAAACAAACAAAAAUACCUGAUGAAAUCACCUGUAGAGAGAGCUAUAGAGAGACCAUAACAAGAGAAGAAAAUGGAGCCAAGGACUCAGUCCUGAGAAAAUGCAACCAGCAGAUUUUUGGUAGCAAAGAAAGAAUCAGAAAAGCAAGUCAGUUAAUAAGGUAGGAAGAAAAUGGAGUCUAUUUCUGCAAGAAGAAAGUGUUAGAAUAUAAUAGAAUUACAUGUCUGAUUAAAUAUUGCUGAGCAGUCAUAAUAAGGAUUGAAAAAUUUCUAUUUGGUUUUGUCACAUGAAGGCUUUUGCUUAUCAUGACCUGGGCACAUAUCUGAGAAAAUGAAUGUGAAUAGCUUAGGUAAAAAAAAAAAGGGCAUGAGAACAUCCCAAUCAAGGAAAAUAAUGUAUGUGACUUCCCUAGAUGGAAAAGGAAGAGGCCAAGUCACCAGAGAUCCUGUAUGAGUGACAUAUGGGUACAGAAGAGAGUGAUAGCAGAGGAGGCUAACAUUGCAGGGAAGAGAUUUUUUAAAAUAUGGAGAUAUAAAUAUCAAUAUAUGUCUUAUCAAUAUAAAUAAUAUUUUCACAAAAAAUUAAAAAUUUACUAUGUAAAACUGGAGAGAUAGAGUUAAGUAGAAUAUUCUAGAGAGAAGAUAUAACAGGCACAAAAGCCCAGUGCUACGGAGCAGUAUGGUACCCUUAGAGCACUGAAGUACUUAGGCUGAAGUGGAGCAUGUUGUGGAGCAGUGAGAGGAAAUAUUCUACAGGGUAGCUGGGGAUCAGUCAGUCUGAGGGACUGUAGGUGCCAUGUUAGGUUUGAGCUUAUUCUAUAGACAGUGGUCUAUAGAAUAUAUAAGUUCUUCUAUAGAGACUGAAGAACUCUAAGCAGCUGAGUGACAUAAUGUGAUUUAUAAUGAUUAAUAUUUUGAAAAGAUAAUUCUAGUAACAAUGUGGGAGAAAAUUUGGAGUUGGGGUUGGAGGAAUAAGACUGAAAGCUGGGAGCCCAAAAGGGGAAUAUCAUGUAUAGGCAAGAAAUGUUGACUGCCUGAACUAAGAUGAUGGCUGUGGAAAUAAAGAAGGAAAAGACAAAUUCUCA
rnacentral:lncRNA from 13 species